UUACCUUUUGCACUCAUUUUGUCAAAAAUAAAAACAUCAAAAAGAUUUUUCUUUGUUUCUUUAGUAAGCUUCCGUAAUUUGAAAAUUUCAAAAAAAAAAAAAGAUUUCUUUUAAUAGGAGUUUUAUAAAAGAAAAUUCAAAAAUGGUAGAAGUUUUAUACAUUUCAUAUAGCGAAAAUGUCUCAAAAAAGAUUUUUCUUUCCUAGUUGUGGGUGUCAUGUGUCAAAUUAAAAACCCCAAAAAGAUUUUAUUUACGUUCUUCACUCGUUUGUCUUUAAUCGGGUCUCAAGUCAAGGUUUUGUUUGUUCUUUAAUCC
rnacentral:lncRNA from 1 species